UGUAUAUGACCACAUGUGACUAUAAGAAUAUAUAGUAUAGUUUGUAUUUAUGGCUUCAAAUCCUACUUUUCAACACGACAGUAACUUCGAUCUAAUCGGUAACUUUUUCGAACUCACGAACAACAUGUCCUCUCGGCAAAAGCUUAGUGCAUAGAAGGUGUUCAAACACCAAAACCUGUGGAAAAAAAAACAGGUUCAAUUUAAAUAUUUAUAUUAUAAAUCAACUCAUAACCAAAAUAUAAAUCGAAAUACG
rnacentral:lncRNA from 1 species